rnacentral:lncRNA from 1 species
GGUCCCUCUUCGGUGCCUUAUUGGAUUCAUUAUUCAUUAUGUGAACUGUUAUGAAGCAUGUACUAUUAUGGAAUAUAUACAAUUUUAAAUAUAUAGUUAAUGCUCUAACUGACAAAACCUUAGGGCUUACUUUAAGAAUAGAGCAAGAGAAUAAUAAGUUCUUUCAUUUCUUAGAUGUGAGUGUUGAAGUUGAGAAUGGAGAAUAUGUUAUGUAUAUAUACAGGAAGCCUUCGUAUGCACCAGUAAUUAUCCUGGCAUGCUUCACAGAAUUAUAUGGUAUAUAAAUUAGCUGCAUUUAGAGCUAUGAUAAAUAGAGCUUUUACCCUUAUAACCAAAUGGAGGGAUAGGGAAGAUGAAUUAACAUAUAUCUUUGAACAAGGUUAUAAAUAUGGAUAUAGAAGGAAAGCAAUAGAAGACCUUAUAAAGAAGAUUAGCAAACACAUUGAAAACAAUAUGAAUACAAAAUCUCAACGCUAGUAAUUUAGAUAAGACGUCGUUUGCCCAGAUCACUUACUAUUGAUGUACGGAUAAAAUUCUUACAAGUGUGACAAAACUCACUAAUAGAAAAAUUAUAAGAAAGA